GAUGAAACUUAAAUGAUUUCUUCGGAAUGAACUUAAGUGGAUUAGUGGCGGACGGGUGAGUAACGCGUGAGUAACCUGCCUUGCACAAGGGGAUAGCCGUUGGAAACGACGAAUAAUACCCUAUGAUAUAAACUCUUCGCAUGAAGAGUUUAUCAAAGAUUUAUCGGUGUAAGAUGGACUCGCGUCUGAUUAGCUAGUUGGUGGGGUAACAGCCUACCAAGGCAACGAUCAGUAGCCGGCUUGAGAGAGUGUACGGCCACAUUGGGACUGAGACACGGCCCAGACUCCUACGGGAGGCAGCAGUGGGGAAUUUUGCACAAUGGGGGAAACCCUGAUGCAGCGACGCCGCGUGAUUUAGAAGGCCUUCGGGUUGUAAAAAUCUUUUGUAUGGGAAGAAAAUGACAGUACCAUACGAAUAAGGACCGGCUAAUUACGUGCCAGCAGCCGCGGUAAUACGUAAGGUCCGAGCGUUGUCCGGAAUCAUUGGGCGUAAAGGGUACGUAGGCGGAUAAGCAAGUUAGAAGUGAAAUCCUAUAGCUCAACUAUAGUAAGCUUUUAAAAACUGCUCAUCUUGAGGUAUGGAAGGGAAAGUGGAAUUCCUAGGUGUAGCGGUGAAAUGCGCUAGAUAUUAGGAGGAAUACCGGUGGCGAAGGCUGACUUUCUGGCCUAUAAACUGACGCUUGAGGUACGAAGCGUGGUAGCAACAGGAUUAGAUACCCGUGUAGUCCACGCCGUAACAUCGAUGAGUGUUAGUUCUGGAAUAA
rnacentral:rRNA from 1 species